GGGAGGAGCCAAGAUGGCCGAAUAGGAACAGCUCCGGUCUACAGCUCCCAGCGUGAGCAAAGCAGAAGACGGGUGAUUUCUGCAUUUCCAUCUGAGGCAAUGGGGAGUCACUGGAAUGCUUGAACAACGUUACUUUAAGAUGAUUUUGACAAUGCGUGGAGACUAGAUCAAAGGAAAGAGAUGAUGGCCACCUUCUCUCUGAGUCCUCUCACGGCACAGAGAAAGAAAGAGAAUGCUCUCGGAAGUCUCUCUUCUUGUGAAGACACUAAUGCGGUCAUGAGGAUCCCACCUUCGUGACCUUAUUUAACCCUAAUUCCCUCCCAAAGGCCUCAUCUCCAACUACCAUUGUAUUGAGGGUUAGAGCUCCAACAUAUGAAUUUUGGUGGGACACAAACAUUUAGUCCAUAAAGUUCUUAAUAUAUUUAAUCCACAAAGUGGCAAAAACUAUCUUUGUCAUCAAAAAAGUUCUGUUUUGAACAGAUAAGAAUCAUUGUAGCAUUUUCGAUUCUUUAAAAUGCUUCCAGUUGAAGAUUUUAAAAAGGAGAAAAAACUAUUUUUAAAGAACUGCAUGAUUACUAUGAGUCCAAAAACCCAGCCACUGAAGGCAAUCAGUGGGUGUACCCUGAGGAAAAGACCUCAACGUCUGCCUUGUCCUGUCCUCCCACAGCUUGGUGUUCUGCACUUCCUUGGAUCUGUGAGUCUCUCCUGUGUUUUCUACUAAAUCUUCCCUUUUUUUUAAGUUAGCUAGAAGCAGUUUUUGUUGUUUGCAACCAAAAGAGUCUUAACAGACACAGAGUUUCUUGUUCAACUCCAUUAAGGCUAUUAAACCGAAGUUGUGUGAUAUUAUUAACAUUCCAUUGUGAUCUCAACUUCUUCGUCUGUAAAAUGCUAAGUGAUUUCCAAGAUGCCUUCCAAUUCUGACAACCUAUGAUUUUUUGAGAGCUCAGAAUGAGCCAAUGUAUAUAUUUGUUUAAAGUCACUCCACUGAUCAAUAUUGAUGAAGCUCAGUGCCAAUCCCAAAAUCCCACCAGAAACACAGAGCAGUGAGGCAGUCCAGACACUUCCAAUUAUUUGUAAACUGAAAUGUCUGGGUUUCCUUGAGGCUGCCUCUGCCUCUUGAUUCAUGUAAUAAAGACACAAAUCUAACUCCAAGGACCUUGAAGGCCAAUAUAGAACUAUAGUAGGUUUUUGAAGGAACUUAAAGAGAAGUUAUUCCCAUAGGACUCAUGGCAAAAUUUCUUGAAAGUCUUUUUUGGACAUAUCCCUUUUCCCCAAAAUUUGAUAAGAUAAAGCAGCUAUUCCACCUCUCACUCUCCAUGCAGUGUCUUCAUUGCCAAAUACUCUCCAAUUUUCUUCCCUUCUCUGUGUGAUGCACCCCCCUUGCCCAUGCACCCAAGCCAUUUCCUCCAAAUCCUUACAUGUGAUUAGGAUUUUCCCCAGCAUGCCCUAAGUCCAUUGGUCAUCUACUUGCUGCUCUGAUUUUAGUGCAAAAUGCAGCUUCCUAGAAUUGUGGCAAAUAGAUUGCAUAGUCGUUCAACAAAUAUUUACUGAGCUCUUACCAUAUCCCUAUAACUGGGAGGAAGAGGGUGCCACUGGGAAAAUGCAAGAUGCAUAUCCCAUUCCAAUUCCAGCCUCAUUCCAUAUUUUAUUUCUAAAGCUUAAUGAGUAGAAAUACAUACACACAUACAUAUACACAUACACUACUCCAGUUGGCAGUUAAAAUGUCCUCAUUUAACGUAAGCUGCACAUGACCCCAGUGGGAUGCUGGUGUCACAGCCUCAGCACAAAUGCGACAGCUGUGUCAUGCUAGACCAAAGAGGGAAAGGGCCACCACCAUUUGCGUGUUGCUGGUGCUAUCUGGAGUGCCUUCCUUGGCUGCCUGGAGGGAGAUGCUGCUGUAACUUUUUCUAAACAGAGCUCUGGGGCACUGCUGAUAGGUGACUUCAGCCUCCUGGCUUAUGCAGUGCAACUGACCCAUGUUUUGUUGGAAGAAUAACUACAGAAAUGGCCUUAUGGGGCAGCAAAGACACUUCUUCAGGAGGACUCAAGUUAAAUUAUUUAAUGAAAUCUCUUGCACUUAGGAAGGAACAGAGCUCACAUAAUUGAACCUCAAGUCUGAACACUUACAUUAUUCUCCUCCGAGAGGCAAAUUGAGUUAUUCUAAAUGAAACUGAUAGACUUUUUGUAAAGUGACCUCUAGUUUUCUAUCCUUGGCAGCCAUACUAAUAAGCCACCAUCAUCUCAUGCCUCUUAACUAGCACCUACACAGCCAUGCGUUCUCCCCUCUUCUCCAUUCUCCACAUUUUAAGACAAAAUUAAAAUUGAUCAUAUCAUCUUUAUGCUUAUAACCCUUGAACAACUGCCCUUAUACAUGUAGGAUAUAGACAAGAACUUGUCACGUGACCCACCAGUGCCUGCAUAGUCUGCCUAGUCAUCUCCCAGCCUCACUCAGGCCCCACUGUUGCCUGUAGAGCUACUCCAGCCUUGUCUCUGUUCCGUCAGUGCCCCAGCUUCCUCUUCCCAGGGCUUUUGGAUGUGUUAUUUCCUCUGCUGAGAACAUACCAUCAUCUGUCCUUUAACUAGUUAACUCAUAUUCUUCCUUCAAUCUCAAUUUGAAUCUCAGUUCCUAUGGGAAGAAUUCUUAUUGCAUAUUCUUAUACCAACCCUGAUCAUAAAUAAAAUGUUCCAUUUAUUUUUGC
rnacentral:lncRNA from 1 species